GAUGAACGCUGGCGGCGUGCCUAAUACAUGCAAGUCGAGCGAACAGACGACGAGCUUGCUCCUCUGACGUUAGCGGCGGACGGGUGAGUAACACGUGGAUAACCUACCUAUAAGACUGGGAUAACUUCGGGAAACCGGAGCUAAUACCGGAUAAUAUAUUGAACCGCAUGGUUCAAUAGUGAAAGACGGUUUUGCUGUCACUUAUAGAUGGAUCCGCGCCGCAUUAGCUAGUUGGUAAGGUAACGGCUUACCAAGGCAACGAUGCGUAGCCGACCUGAGAGGGUGAUCGGCCACACUGGAACUGAGACACGGUCCAGACUCCUACGGGAGGCAGCAGUAGGGAAUCUUCCGCAAUGGGCGAAAGCCUGACGGAGCAACGCCGCGUGAGUGAUGAAGGUCUUCGGAUCGUAAAACUCUGUUAUUAGGGAAGAACAAAUGUGUAAGUAACUAUGCACGUCUUGACGGUACCUAAUCAGAAAGCCACGGCUAACUAUGUG
rnacentral:rRNA from 1 species